rnacentral:rRNA from 1 species
CAUGAAUGGUUUAAUGNGGAUUUAGCUGUCUUUNUUUUUUUAAAUAGAAAUUAAUUUUUAAGUGAAAAAGCUUAAAUUAAAUUAAAAGACGAAAAGACCCUAUCGAACUUAAAAUUAACUUAAUAAUUUAAAAUUAUAUGUAACUAUUAAAUAAAUUUUUAUUGGGGCGAUAAAAGAACAUAUGAAGCUUCUUUUAAUUAAAAAUAUUUAUUAAUAUAUAGACCCAUUAAUAAUGGCUAUUAGAAUAAGUUACCGUAGGGAUAACAGCGUAAUAUUUCUGGAGAGCUCUUAUCAAUAGAAAAGUUUGCGACCUCGAUGUUGGAUUGGAAUUCCUAUUAGAUGCAAC